AUACGUAGGUGGCAAGCGUUAUCCGGAUUUAUUGGGCGUAAAGCGAGCGCAGGCGGUUUUUUAAGUCUGAUGUGAAAGCCUUCGGCUCAACCGAAAGAAGUGCAUCGGAAACUGGGAAACUUGAGUGCAGAAGAGGACAGUGGAACUCCAUGUGUAGCGGUGAAAUGCGUAGAUAUAUGGAAGAACACCAGUGGCGAAGGCGGCUGUCUGGUCUGUAACUGACGCUGAGGCUACGAAAGUAGUGGGUAGC
rnacentral:rRNA from 1 species